GAUGGACUACGUUGAUACCCAGGUUGAGGACUACCGGGGCAUACUCGAAGCAAAGGGACUGAAUUCUACCCAGCUGGCUGCGGCUCAGGUGAUUUUUCUGUACACUGUGGUGGGUAACACGAAACUGAAACUAUCUCAGACUAACAAGGAGGACGCUGAACUUGCUCAGGAUAUAUCUGUUGGGACCAAGUAAUGAACAGUUAGAAGAAAAAGUUAUCUCUCUAGAGCCUUUGGAGACUUCAGCGGAAGGGAUAAUAAAGAUUCAUCUUUUUUGAAGUCUCGGAUCGAAGUGCCUCGACCCCAUCUCCGCGGUCAACCAGAACCGGAGGAGGUCUCUGCAACAGGAAUGUGUGAAUUUCCAAGGUCAACCACACACUUCUCCUAGACACAACAUCGUUGUGAAAAACCACCCAGGCACCAUGGCGUUGGGGACAGACCACACAUGGAGCAGCAGGCCCUGGACUGCUUGAGGGAGAGCUUGACCGAUGCCCGCCAAGAUUGAUGUGUGGAGGUGGUUCCUUUAUCUGAUGAGUACUAGAAUGGUGUGGUAUGCUUCAAUGUUAAUCUUUUUCUCUCCUGAGAACUGUACAAAUCACAGAGAUAUUCAUGCAUCUUGUAUUAUUGACAAGUACCGCGACAAGCAUACUCCGGACCCUGAUGUUCCCACGAAUACAGUUUGGGGCUUUCUUAGAAUCUAUUGAAAAUUUGGGAUUUGUUUACAUCGCUUCGAGAUAUUAGCCAGCCGGGGACAAAGCAAAGCAGCGACCAGCAAGUAGGCGAAGUCUAUUUAUAUUUCUUGUUGUAGGCGAAGUCUAAAAUUGCACAGUGGAAUGACUGGUUGCAGCCGCAAGCAGCGCAACCCACUGUUCACACCGUCUCCGUGCGUCGUGCCAUAAGUCGAUUGAUUUGUCCAUCUUUCUGGACAUUCAAUUUUUUCCUUUUGCAUUUAUCUCUCAGGUUUGGCCUAAACGUAGAGAUGGUGGGUGGCACAUGAUGCUAAUUGAGUUUUAUCUCUUCCUUAGGUUGAGUACAGGGAGUCACACGGAAGGACAACAGCCAGAGCGUCACUUGAUAUCCAUCCUUGCA